rnacentral:miRNA from 1 species
CUUCCAGUAGCACCUUAGAGACCAACUAAGUUUGUUAUUGGUAUGAACUUUCAUGUGCAUGCACACUUCUUCAGAUAUGUAUCUGAUAAAGCUCAUACCAAUAACAAACUUAGUUGGUCUCUAAGGUGCUACUGGAAU